rnacentral:rRNA from 1 species
AAUUAUACACGUGGAAACUGCGAAUGGCUCAUUAAAUCAGUUAUCGUUUAUUUGAUAAUACCUUACUACUUGGAUAACCGUGGUAAUUCUAGAGCUAAUACAUGCUGAAAAUCCCGACUUCGGAAGGGAUGUGUUUAUUAGAUAAAAAACCAAUGCCCUUCGGGGCUUUUUGGUGAUUCAUGAUAACUUUACGGAUCGCAUAGCCUUGCGCUGGCGACGGUUCAUUCAAAUUUCUGCCCUAUCAACUUUCGAUGGUAAGGUAUUGGCUUACCAUGGUUUCAACGGGUAACGGGGAAUUAGGGUUCGAUUCCGGAGAGGGAGCCUGAGAAACGGCUACCACAUCCAAGGAAGGCAGCAGGCGCGCAAAUUACCCAAUCCCGACACGGGGAGGUAGUGACAAUAAAUACUGAUACAGGGCUCUUUUGGGUCUUGUAAUUGGAAUGAGUACAAUUUAAACCUCUUAACGAGGAACAAUUGGAGGGCAAGUCUGGUGCCAGCAGCCGCGGUAAUUCCAGCUCCAAUAGCGUAUAUUAAAGUUGUUGCAGUUAAAAAGCUCGUAGUUGAAACUUGGGCCUGGCUGGCGGGUCCGCCUCACCGCGUGCACUCGUCCGGCCGGGCCUUCCUUCUGAAGAACCUCAUGCCCUUCACUGGGCGUGCUGGGGAAUCAGGACUUUUACUUUGAAAAAAUUAGAGUGUUCAAAGCAGGCCUUUGCUCGAAUACGUUAGCAUGGAAUAAUAAAAUAGGGCGUGCGUUUCUAUUUUGUUGGUUUCUAGAGACGCCGCAUUGAUUAACAGGAACAGUCGGGGGCAUCAGUAUUCAGUUGUCAGAGGUGAAAUUCUUGGAUUUACUGAAGACUAACUACUGCGAAAGCAUUUGCCAAGGAUGUUUUCAUUAAUCAGUGAACGAAAGUUAGGGGAUCGAAGACGAUCAGAUACCGUCGUAGUCUUACCGUAAACUAUGCCGACUAGGGAUCGGGCGAUGUUCUUUUCUGACUC